GACGGGCUGGCGCGGGCGCUGGUCGAGCGGGAGGCCGCCGCCUUCCUCGCCGGGGUGGACCGUGCCCUGGCCGGUGGGUCCGACCCCCACCCUCGGCUC
rnacentral:tRNA from 2 species